ACAUGAAAUUACUCUUGUGCUUGCUAAAACUGGAAUGAUACAGAGAAGACAAGCAUGGCUCCUUCACAAGGAUGGUAUGCAAAUUUGGAUACUGUUCUACACAUUU
ensembl:snRNA U6 U6 spliceosomal RNA